GCUGGAGUGAAGUCUCAUGGCUGUUUAUGCGGUGGCUCGCUGCUCAGGACACAAAGCCCCCUGUGUGGGAAUAGCCUGUCUCAACGACGCCGUCUAUAAGGACCUGCUUCCUCAAAGGACCUCAUAGUCGGGUCCUGCCCCUCUGUGUCCAGUCUGCCUUGGCUGGAGGGGCUGCAGCAGUGUGUGUUGGCGCCACCUGGUGGAGACAGGGCAUCACAGCAGAUAUUUGCACUCCUGGUUAUGAAGCCUUCACACUUGGACUGAAUACACCACCAGCUUUCCCGAUUUCCAGCUUGCAAAUGGCAGAUCGUGAGACUUCUCAGCUUCCAUAAUUACAUGAGCCAAUUUAUAUAUAUAAAUUGGGUUCUUCAGAA